UGAUAUUGGGUUAGGGUUAGUCAUGAUGUUGGGUUAGGGUUUCCCAGUCAAUGUCAUGAUAUCGGGUUAGGGUUAGGGUUAGUCAUGAUAUUGGGUUAGGGUUAGUCAUGAUAUUGGGUUAGGGUUAGUCAUGAUAUUGGGUUAGGGUUAGUCAUGAUAUUGGGUUAGGGUUAGUCAUGAUAUUGGGUUAGGGUUCCCCAUUCAUUAUGAUGAUAUUAGGUUAGGGCUGGUCUUGAUAUUGAAUGAGAAAGAUAAAAAAAUAAACUACUACCCUUAUUAGUAACUCAGUGUUACUAUUAUGAAACCAUUAUGAUUCUGUCCUAGAAGCCCCAUGGAGUCUCAUUAUAGACAUAAAACGAUUACACACAGUAAUGAUUUAAACACAUAAACACAGGAACAUAUUCAUUGAAAGACAGUUAGGCAACACCAUUCAUGAUUGCCAUGUCUCUGUCGAUUAGCAAGCACGGUAAACAGAAAAGCUGCACUUGUCACGAGUCAGCCCUUUCAUUCAAACCGAACAAAACUAAUGGUUCUGUCUUUUCUCCCUUCGUGUCAUUUUUGUACAUCGGUUGCCCAACGUUUACUUCUACUUCUAGUUUAUCCUCCAUUUUGAAGGCAUUUUGGAAAAUCAAAUGCUCAAGACCGUAAUCCACCUUGUUCGUGUUUAUUAAACCCUAUAUUGUAUUUCACAUCAGUCCCAGCCCAUGAUAUGUUAUGGAUGUAGUCACAAUGCAGGCUUGAAUGAAUUAGCCCCAGUACAUAUUAACACCAGGGGGCAUUUCACUAGGCUGUGUGUUUCUACAGUCUGGCCUAGAAAGAAAUUAGCCCUAGCCUUUACCUCCUCCCAUUCUGUUUGUUUGUACUUACCACCAUUAGUUGUACUGUUGUUUUUGGUCUCUAAAUAUAUUCACUUUAAGUCAUUUGUUAACACCAAGCCAUGCUAUCCCAUUUAGACCAGCCAGAUCUCGUGACAAUGGCUCAAUUAAUAGAA
ensembl:lncRNA